rnacentral:tRNA from 1 species
GGAGAGGUGCUCGAGUGGUUGAAGAGGCACGCCUGGAAAGCUUGUAAACGCCUAAAGCGUUUCGGGGGUUCGAAUCCCCCUCUCUCCG